rnacentral:lncRNA from 1 species
CUCUCUCCCUAAAGCAGCCAGAAGGGACUUCCGGGUAUCUGAGCAUCGGCGGUAUUGUCACUUUCCCUUGGAGUCCCAGGGAGACGUUAUCUCUGGAGGUCAGGAGAUGGGAAGGGAACCAAGGGCUCCUGAGACCUGAGGCUGUGCUGCCUGCACCUGUCCCGCCUCCUCACUUUGCACAAUGAGAUAGCUGACCUUUUCUAUUUCAUCUUGUUUUUUUUCCUGCACCCCACUUGGCUUGGCAACCAUAAAUCCACACCAUUUCCUCCUUGGCAUUUCUUGAAUGUAUCCCGCUCAAAUUAACAACUCAAAAGCAGGAGGCCCGGUAGACCUUGAAAUGUUCCGCUUGCCUUCUGGCCUUGGCAGCUGGCUUGACAGGUCCCACCGGCUCUCCUGGGAGAGUGGGCAGCUGACAAAUCCGGAGGCCCUGAAACCUUCCUUCCAACGUUUUCUCGAACAACUCACAGUCCAGGAGGAGACACAGGCAAAUGACUAUGACGCAGACGUACCAGCGUCACGCAGACGAUUUGGAAUCUGCUCUGAUGCUCCAGGAACUUCUCUGGAGGCCCAGAAACAGCAAGACACAUGAGGAUGUGGACUUCGUGGUCACACACAGCACGUUUCCAGUCCCAACUUUGACACCAAUCUGCUGGAUGAUCUUGGACAAUUUACGUAACUUCCCUGAACGGUUUUCUCCUCUUGUGAUGGUUAGUUUUAUGCGUCGAUGUGGCUAUGCUAUAAUUAGUGUUUAUUCCGUCAACCACUAAUCUAGGUGUUGCUGUGAAGGUGUUUGGUAGACGUGGUUAACGUCUACUAGCUGUUGACUUUAAGUAAAGGAGAUCAUCUCAGUGGGCCUCACCCAUCAGUGAAAGGCCUUACGAGCAAAACAGAGGUUUCUCUGAAGAAGAAGAAAUUCUGCCUGUGGACUCCGGCGUUGGCUUCUGCCCAAAUUUCCAGCCUCCAGUCUGCCCUCCAA